AAGAUCAGCAACUGCUUCCCCUGCUCCUCCAAGUACCUCUACAUUCACACAAGCAGUCAAGUAUAGCUUGAACUUAAGAAUUGUUUCAUCUCCAGCAAGUAUCCUUGAGCAAUCAUUUCACUCUCAAGAACCAUCAUACUUAUCAAUUCAGAAUCUGAAAGUAAUGUAUGAACUUUUUGUAUGUUGUUUCAUAAGGUGCAGAUUAGGUUUUAAAUAUAAUUUAUAGCCUAAACGCAGUGUACAAACUACUUUCGGUAUAAACUUCUUGAAUAUACAUUUCAGGAGAUUAGCCAAGAAAAGGAGGAGGAGGAGGA
rnacentral:misc_RNA from 1 species